rnacentral:tRNA from 1 species
GCACAAGUAGCUCAAUGGUAGAGUAAAACACUGAAAAUGUUUAGGUAUUGGUUCAAACCCAAUCUUGGGCA